rnacentral:tRNA from 1 species
ACCUGGUUGGCUCAGUCAGCAGAGCAUGUGACUCUUGAUCUAGGGGUUGUGAGUUUGAGUCCCACGCUGGGUG